GUGGGCUCUUUGUGAUUCGCUGUUAUUUGCAUGUGGGCGGAACCGUUCAUGCGGUGAACUUCAAGGCCAGCCCACACAAUGUCAUUUAGCUUAAACCCCCGACGGUAACAGCUUGGCCUAAUGGAUAUACUGUCCAAAGGAUAACGCAAAUGCAGGUAAGCAUUUGUGUUUUGGUGUAAAAAGAUAAGAGAAGACAGCAGCAAGCAGUAAACAAGACAGCUAGCAAAUUAAUUCUUAAUUCUUUUUUUUCUUUGACUUUGUUUGCACUUGAGACGCCUAGCAUUAUUGUGAACAUGCUUCUAGCCUACUAGCCUUGUUAGUCCACAUUUGACAGUUUGUUGAUUCGGUUUUUUGCUUAAUAAGAGGCAGCAGUUUAUUAAAUUUUUCAGGUUCAGGCAUAUUGUUUUAUUGCUAGCUGGUAGGUAGCUGGAUAAGUCAGCUGGAGGUGACUGCUUGCUGCUUAGCUUUACAUGUAGCUAACUAGUUAAAUGCUGUUAUUCAUGAAAGGCGGGACAAGAAAUGCAGAGUAAAACCGAGUGAACGGACUGCUUGCUGCUCAGGUCUGUUUCUGAAGGGAUGCAUGAUAUUGACUUGUAUUUUACAAACAAAAGAAGCCGUUUUAUUGCAAUAGUUGGGCUAAUCAGAGGCAGCUCUGCUCCUUAAGCAUGUCGUUAAGCAUCCACUCCUGCAUGCAGAGGGGGAGAGGAGGUUUAGAGGACUGUAAGAUAAGCUGGCAGUUCAGGUUUGUCUCACAAAUAACAAGGAAAGUGUACAUUUCAUUAUUCAUUUACUGUAUAAGAGCUAUGGAUAAGCAAAUUUGCUGUGCUCAUAUAUAUGAAGUUACAGCCAUCUUAUUUCAGUAUGUUAAUGGAAUUGUACUAACUUUAGUUGGUAAAGCAUAGAAAUAGACUGUGGUAUUCUGAUUAUAUUUGUCUUGCAAUUGAACUUGAUAAUUGUAACAGUUGUGUUUUUUGUCUAUUUAGAGUUUUGACAUACUAAUAAGACAUGCAAAGGCGGAGACGUAUUAACCCAAUCGAUGAUGCAAAAUAUUAUGUUCAGUCUGGACGUGACAAAGGUGGUCUGGACAUUCAAUAUAUCAAUGCCUGUAAAGGUCGUGGCCUCUUCACUUCUACUUCAUUUACAAAAGGAGAUUUUGUCUGUGAAUAUAGAGGUGAACUGAUUAGCCAGCAGGAGUGCAAGAGAAGACAGCGGCUGUACCAUGAACACCUGAAGGUGUUCAUGUUUGAGUUCAAGUAUAAUGGAAAACUAUGGUGCAUUGAUGCAUCAAAAGAGGAUGGGUCUUAUGGAAGACUUGUGAAUGACAAUCACAUUAAUCCAAAUACUAAAAAAAAAUAUAUAACGGUGCAAGGGAAGCCACAUCUUUGCCUGUUUGCCAAUCAAGACAUAAAUCCCAGAGAAGAAAUUACCUACAAUUAUGGUGACUCUGAAUGGCCUUGGAGAAGUAAUGUAAGUAAAACA